UACGAAGGGGGCUAGCGUUGCUCGGAAUGACUGGGCGUAAAGGGCGCGUAGGCGGAUUGUUCAGUCAGGCGUGAAAUUCCCGGGCUCAACCUGGGGGCUGCGCUUGAGACGUGCGAUCUUGAGUGGGGAAGAGGGUCGUGGAAUUCCCAGUGUAGAGGUGAAAUUCGUAGAUAUUGGGAAGAAAACCGGUGGCGAAGGCGGCGACCUGGUCCUUUUACUGACGCUGAGGCGCGAAAGCGUGGGGAGCAAACAGG
rnacentral:rRNA from 1 species